rnacentral:rRNA from 1 species
AACGUAGGAGACAAACGUUAUCCGGAGUUACUGGGCGUAAAGGGCGUGUAGGUGGUUGCGUAAGUCUGGCGUGAAAUUUUUCGGCUUAACCGGGAAAGGUCGUCGGAUACUGCGUAGCUAGAGGACGGUAGAGGCGUGUGGAAUUCCGGGUGUAGUGGCGAAAUGCGUAGAGAUCCGGAGGAACACCAGUGGCGAAGGCGACACGCUGGGCCGUACCUGACACUGAUGCGCGACAGCAUGGGGAGCAAACAGG